rnacentral:rRNA from 1 species
UCAGGACGAACGCUGGCGGCGUGCUUAACACAUGCAAGUCGAACGAUGACGAUGGUGCUUGCACCGUCUGAUUAGUGGCGAACGGGUGAGUAACACGUGAGUAACCUGCCCUCCUCUUCGGGAUAACCGCCGGAAACGGUGGCUAAUACCGGAUAUGAAUGCCUGCCGCAUGGUGGGUGUUGGAAAGAUUUAUCGGUGGGGGAUGGACUCGCGGCCUAUCAGUUUGUUGGUGAGGUAAUGGCUCACCAAGGCGGUGACGGGUAGCCGGCCUGAGAGGGCGACCGGCCACACUGGGACUGAGACACGGCCCAGACUCCUACGGGAGGCAGCAGUGGGGAAUAUUGCACAAUGGGCGAAAGCCUGAAUGCAGCGACGCCGCGUGGGGGAUGACGGCCUUCGGGUUGUAAACCUCUUUCAGCAGGGAAGAAGCGAGAGUGACGGUACCUGUAGAAGAAGCGCCGGCUAACUACGUGCCAGCCGCCGC